rnacentral:ncRNA from 2 species
AUGUUUGUGCCGAUUUAUGGUUCCCGAUCCUUAACCAGGCGCUCGGGAUUAAUAGGGAAUUCGGUGAAAGUCCGGAACUGUCCCCGCAACUGUAACCCGGUCUUUAUUUCAAUAAAGAAAACGGAAAUCCAUCCUUUGCCAUUGUCCUUGUUGGAUGAGAAGGCGGAUUUACCUUGGGAAGUCAGGAGACCUGCCAUUAAAAUCUUUUCAUU